rnacentral:tRNA from 1 species
GGCUCGGUUGCUUAGCUGGUAAAGCACUUGUCUAGCGAAUAAGGGUCGUGAGUUCAAAUCUCACCUGAGCUG